rnacentral:rRNA from 1 species
UGAACGCUGGCGGCGUGCUUAACACAUGCAAGUCGAACGAUGAUGCCAGCUUGCUGGUGGAUUAGUGGCGAACGGGUGAGUAACACGUGAGUAACCUGCCCUUAACUCUGGGAUAAGCCUGGGAAACUGGGUCUAAUACCGGAUAUGACUCCUCAUCGCAUGGUGGGGGGUGGAAAGCUUUAUUGUGGUUUUGGAUGGACUCGCGGCCUAUCAGCUUGUUGGUGAGGUAAUGGCUCACCAAGGCGACGACGGGUAGCCGGCCUGAGAGGGUGACCGGCCACACUGGGACUGAGACACGGCCCAGACUCCUACGGGAGGCAGCAGUGGGGAAUAUUGCACAAUGGGCGAAAGCCUGAUGCAGCGACGCCGCGUGAGGGAUGACGGCCUUCGGGUUGUAAACCUCUUUCAGUAGGGAAGAAGCGAAAGUGACGGUACCUGCAGAAGAAGCGCCGGCUAACUAC